AAGUCGUAACAAGGUAACCGUAGGUGAACCUGCGGUUGGAUCAUUAAUAAUGAUAUCCAAGUAAAAGUUUUUCGUGAAAUUAUUUUCAAGUCAAAUUUUGAACGGAGCACACCAGUGCAAACCCACUGUGAACUUGUAAUAGUAUUUGGGUCGAUUUCAGGUGUUUAAUUAUAUUAUUUAUACCUUUCGGCCCAACUUUAAAAACAAACCUUUAUAAUUUUGACUGAAUUUUGUUUCUAAUGAAUCAAAAACAACUUUUGACAACGGAUCUCUUGGCUCUC
rnacentral:misc_RNA from 1 species